CUAGUGUACAAUGCUGAAGCUGAGUUGUUCUUUCACAUCUAGAUUCUCCCCAGGACUCUCCUUUGUGCUGUUCUGCUGCUGCUGCUGCUUGUAUCGGUGCUGAGCAAGGGCAAGGCCAAGUGCAGCAUUGUGGAAAUCCUGCGGCAAUACCAAGCCGUGAUCUUUGAUGAGCUCCAGAACCUGAAAAACUUGACUCGAUCUGCUGAAACCCCAAGGAGGGGGAGAGCUGGCCCAGCCUGCCUCUCUAACAAGGAGCAGAAAAUCCUGCUGUCUAUCUCCACCAUGAGCAUGUCUCUCAGGGACAUGGUCAGAGGCUCCUGGAGGAAUCCUGAAGUAGUGGCUGUGAUGCAGGUGGUCAGCAACACAGAGUCAGUGACCAAACAGAACUGCAAGAAAAUCCACAAGGUUGGGGCUUCCUUUUCUCUUCUGCCACGCAGCUGGCAUGGUGCAAAAAAAUAGCAGCCAUUCGUUAAGAAGUUUAAGUGUUGUAANAAAUAGCAGCCAUUCGUUAAGAAGUUGAAGUGUUGUAACCUUGUUGGUCCCAGGAUAUUAGAGAGACAAGGUGGGUGAGGUAAUAUCUUUUAUGGGACUAACUUCUGGUGGUGAAAG
rnacentral:lncRNA from 1 species